AUUCCUGAUUUUGUUGUUCGCUUGCCUGUUGAUGAUGUAUAAGAAUGCUAGUGCUUUUCAUAUAUUGAUUUUGUGUCCUGAAACUUUGCUGAAGUUGUUUAUCAGCUGAAGGGGCUUUUAAGCCUAGAGACUGUGGGGUUUUCUAGAUAUAAAAUUGUGUCUGCUAACAGGGAUAGGUUGAUUUCCUCUCUUCCUAUUUGGAUCCCCUUUGUUUCUUUCUCUUGCCUGUUUUCUCUUGCUGGGAUUUCUAAUGCU